rnacentral:rRNA from 1 species
UACGGAGGAUCCGAGCGUUAUCCGGAUUUAUUGGGUUUAAAGGGUGCUCAGGCGGGCGAUUAAGUCGGCGGUGAAAUUUUGCGGCUCAACCGUAAAAGUGCCUUCGAAACUGGUCACCUUGAGUGCGGAUGAGGUAGGCGGAAUUUGUGGUGUAGCGGUGAAAUGCAUAGAUAUCACGAGGAACUCCGAUUGCGCAGGCAGCUUACUAAACCGUAACUGACGCUCAAGCACGAAGGCGUGGGGAUCAAAC